CUGCGAGAGUGGGGUGACUAAGUCUCUAUUAUUGUGUAGGGUUCAAUGUGUGUUUUGAGCUUUAGUAAAGUUUAUGAAUGUGGGAGCACAUGCAUUUGGGGUAUAGAUGUUCAGAAUUGAGACUUUCUCAUGGUGGAUUUUUAUUCUUGAUGAUCUUGCUUGAUAACUUUUGGUUGAAAGUGUAUUUUAUUGGAUAUUAGGAUGGCAACUCCAGCUUGUUUCUUGGGACCAUUUGCUUGGAAGACCUUUUUUCCCAACCUUUUACUCUGACGUAGUAUCUGUAGGGCUAACAGUUCUUUGACAUAGUUCCCAGGUGAAUAUUCUAGAAGCCCAAUGUUUCAUUAGAGGAUAAAGUGACUUAACACAAAAAACUCACAUGAACUUUACAAUAUGGCUGACAGGAAGUACAGACAAGGUCUGGGAAUGCACAGGUUGGGUUCUCUGGACAAGAAGACCAAAGAGUUUGGGUGACAGUUGUAGUUUUUAUUUUGACUCUGGUUUGUAAAAAAGGAACUAGGGCACUCAAAAAGGAAAGCAUCUGUGUGUGUGUGUGUGUGUGUGGUUUUUUUUUUUCUUCUUCACUACAACCUGGCAUCUCCUUCUUCUAGGUUUGAAUGUAUCACUGGCCCUUGACUCUGUUUGAAUAGCUGGUUGUCUCUAUUGUUCCAACUGUCUUCCUUAUUUGUCCUUCCAACUUUUCCUGUCAGGAGCCUGGUAUGUAUGUGUAGGGAGAAGAAUCAGGUAGCCUUGAACUAGAAGCUUGGUUGUCGAAUGGCUAUACAAUCUCUUCUUCCCCGUGGGAGGACUGAACACUCUAUGGUUUACCUUGGCACUCACUGACAAAAUUCCAGUUAUAAGUUAUGUACAUAUGGGCCAGUCAGAUUAUUUCUGGAAAGAUGUGAGUGAGUCAUAUGUUGCCCAAGGUCAAGUUUCUGCCUAAGAAUGUAUUUGUAGACCUUCUUUUGACCAUUGCUCUUAGUUUUCCUGUAUGUUUCUGAGGGCAUGCCACGUUCUUGUGUUGGACUGGGAAUGAGGAACUUGUGUGGCCUGUGACCUCCGAGACAGUAUGUAUACAGUGAAGCUCCAAAGCCCAUCUCUGGCCAAAGGAGGCCAUGAUUAAGGUCAGUCAACUUGGGAUUUAUUGGCAAAAUGUGUGUGUGUGUGUGUGUGUGUGUGUGUGUGUGUGUGUGUGUGUGUGCGUGUGUGGUGUUGUUGUUGUUGUUGUUGUUUAUCAAAGAAGGGUGGAGGGAGAGAACCUGAAAGAUGGGUACCUUGGCUUCUUGGUUCAAUACUGUCAGCAAGUGAUCUGUUCUUAAUGUUCCCACCAAUAAUUCAGUGUGUUUUCUCUCAAAAUGUCUGGGGGCAAAGGACUGAAGAAUAGAUAUAUCUUGGUAGCACAGGAGGGACUUGUACUCAGCCCAAGGUCCCGUUUCUUCUGAAGAAUUUAUAUGUAUUGCGUCUUCUGACUCUUCUUUCUAGCUUUGCAGUUCCCAAUUUAGUGCGAACUCGAGUGCUGAACUGAUGGUGCUGUACUGUGCCCCAGACUAAGUCUCUGGCUAGAAGUUUGUUUCUAUGGCUUCUCCUGACCCUUGCAUCCAGGGGAAGGGAUCCUCAUUGGGUUUUCCUGUUUGGCCCUUAUGCCUUGAGGAUGGUCCCUGUCCUUGUGGGAGAAUAUCUUAAUACACUGAAACAGAGACCACCCAGGUCAGAUCAGUGAUAAUAGGUACUGUAGACAUAAGGAACCAAUUUCUAUCUAACAUAUAUCAGAGUCAAGUGUUAUGUUGAACUGUUUCAUUUUUUUUUUUUUUUUCACUCCAAGAAGGGCGGAGGGAGAGAACCUGUAAGAAGGGUAUCUUCACAUUCUUGAUACUACACUGCCAUCCAGUGGAAUUGCUUUGCUGUUCUUAUCAACACCUCCAUAAGCUUUUCCUUGGCAAGUCUGGUAGUGGGUGAGGAGUGCUUCAGCUUCUGGUUCAAAUAUUAAAGUGAAGGUAGCUUGAGCCAACUGGCAGGUUCUGCGGUUAGCCAGCUUGCUUCUCUGAGUAAUAAAUUCAGCUACUUGCGAAUAUGGGCUUUGUGAUCUCGAGGCGGCCAUGUUUGCACAGUGAUGAGGAACACUAUUUCGGAUUCAUCAACUGGGGCACAGAUAUGUGGGUAACUUGCUGAUCAAGGUUAGGAAUCUCCCCCAAUUGCCUCUGACCUGUUUUUUAGAUACCUUUCUGCAUAUAUAUCUCAUUUCUUGGAAUCAGCCAGUGCCCAUGAGAUUCUGGACUUUGUUCAUGAGCUUCAGGGUCUCGAGAAAUGCCAUCUAGAGGUCAAAAAUAUGUCAGUCCUUUCAAUUCAUCAUACUCUCUACCCUACUCUCACUUCCAUUACUCCCUCUUUUUCAUUCCUUCCCUCCUUCCACUCUUAGAUACUCAGCCUGUUGUCUCUGCUUUUUUUCUUCCCUUCCUUUCUGUAUUUUCUGUCUUUUGGCUUCCUUUUUAUUCCCUUUAUUCUUCUGCUGUACUUCAGGAGUUUUGCUGGGAGAGCUCUCUUUGUCUUGGACUUGGAAUCCGUGGUUCAGCAUCAAAUCAGGUCCCCACACAACCCACAGGCCGGGAAAACAUCUGUAAAGGUGAG
ensembl:lncRNA